rnacentral:rRNA from 1 species
CACGUAGGGCGCAAGCGUUGUCCGGAAUUAUUGGGCGUAAAGAGCUCGUAGGCGGUCUGUUGCGUCCGCUGUGAAAACCCGGGGCUUAACCCUGGGCUGGCAGUGGAUACGGACAGACUAGAGGUAGGUAGGGGAGAAUGGAAUUCCUGGUGUAGCGGUGAAAUGCGCAGAUAUCAGGAGGAACACCUAUGGCGAAGGCAGCUCGCUGGGACGGUACUGACGCUGAGGCGCGAAAGCGUGGGGAGCGAACAGG